UACGGAGGGUGCAAGCGUUAUCCGGAUUUACUGGGUUUAAAGGGUGCGCAGGCGGAUAUGUAAGUCAGUGGUGAAAUCUCUAGGCUUAACCUGGAAAUUGCCGUUGAUACUAUAUAUCUUGAAUGCUGUGGAGGUAAGCGGAAUAUGUCAUGUAGCGGUGAAAUGCUUAGAUAUGACAUAGAACACCUAUUGCGAAGGCAGCUUACUACGCAGAUAUUGACGCUCAUGCACGAAAGCGUGGGGAUCAAGCAGG
rnacentral:rRNA from 1 species